rnacentral:lncRNA from 1 species
UUGCCCUUGACGAGAUGGCAUUAGCAGAGAAAAAUAUCAUUGUCCUCAGGUUUACACCGGGAGAGUCUUUCCCCUUACCUAUAGAAUAAUAGAAAUGCGCCCAAAAAUAACGGUACUCAGCUUGUUAGAUGGACUGGAGGGAGAGUCCAACGGCAACACCUUCCAAACAGUUAGAGGCUGUGAGAUGAACAAUUGCUUCCAGUUAAACAGUUCAUGACUUCCUUCUCCACAAGCACGUCUUACAAUUAAAGAAUGGGAUCACGCAUGUAGCCAAGCAAACAGGAGCCUGGUAGAGCUACUGGCAUCAACCUUUUGCUUCAAAGAAAUAUUUAAUGUUGCAUCUUGCUACAAAAAAGUAUCCAGUAACAUCCUCUAGAGAUCAGGAUUCACGAUCACCAUAAGCAAUCAAGUAUUACGUUGUAAGAAACAUCUUCAACAUGUAACGAGCAUGGUAUGGCAUGACAUCCUGAAUCCUGUGGGAGAAAGGAAGUCUUCCCUGGUUGGUUGACUAGCUUAGGAGUGAGGAUGGUUGUCUAGCAAGAGCACUGAAACUUCCUACGCAAGCCCAUCAUUCUAGUUCGCACUCUCCAAUUGCUUGUUAUCUUUUUUGCCCCUCUUCCGCUUCCGAACCCUCUUUCUCUUCGCCUCGCCAUCAGCUGUAGCUACCUGCAGAGCAGAUGUUGUCAUCAGUGCUUGGGUCCUGAUACAACUAAAAACGAGAGGCACAGCAAAGUUUCAACACUGUUGGACCUUAUAAUAAGUUGCAAAUGUUUAGUUAUAUUUACAUUUAGUUCAAUCUCUGAACAUACAUCAGAGAUCUGACAGAACAAAACCUGAUGUCACAAAAUGACGAGAGGUACAUAUGAUGCACGUGCCACAUUACCAAAGAAUACCUGGUUUUGAAUAACUGUGGGGAGCUUUGGUUUCUUCUUCUUACAGGAGAGUGGGUUAGGACCCUGCAUAAUGAUACUUUCAUUUAAUACAAGAAAUAGAUAUAGAGUAGUGAACUCAGUUGCUGCUGAUGCCUACUAGAUAACAAACACUGAAUAUAGUCAAUCAUCACAUGACAAAAGACACCAAAAAGGCAAUGACUCUAGAUAUAACCUUUGCUUUGUUCCUUUUAAACUUGCUUUUGUCAGUAACACCAAGAGCAUUUUUUACAAGAGAACUGAUAGGCCUCUCAUGUUGUUCUCCGUCACUUCCAUUUUCACUGGCAGCUGUUUUUCCUUCUGAUGCAGCCUUCAGUAACUUCUUGUAUUCAGAUAUAUCCAUAUUGAGACGCUUCUCCUCAUCCAAUUGAGCAAACUUGCGUUGCUGCACAGAGGGUUGUUCUAUGAAUAAGGAGUUCUUCAGACCAUAUAUCACAGGAACCCCAGGAAUCUACAUGGAAGCAGACAAAGUACAUGAGCAAAUUGCUGCGACCCAGACAAGGUCGUAGAUAUGAUCCACACGAUUUUCAUUGAAAGAAGCAGAGUUUACACACGACAGAUGAGGGUCGUCGAUACCUCUCGUAACUUUUCUCGAAGACCAGGAUCCUGGGUGGCAACGAAGAAAUGCUCAGGAUUUUUAUCACCUAUCAGUGACAUGACACAGUUCACGGCACUGACCACCUUGUCAUGCUCACACCUAGUAACACCGUGAAAUCCAGGAAAACACUGAGUCAAUGCAUCAUAAUUAGGCUCAUAUAGGUCCCAUAUGCAAAAUUCAAGCUGGAAAUGAAAGACUACAUUCGGGAAUGGCACAAAACUAAACGCACCAGCUACUAGAUUGUAAUGUUGCGUCAUGACACCUAAAACCAGUGAACAGGCCCUGGGCCAAACAACGGCUACCAAAAUGCAUCCUGAAGUGAUCCAAAUUCCAACUGCAGCAUAGGUUCCACUUCCAGACAACCAAAUUCGAUUGAACCAAAUUGGCUACUCAGACUCCAAGAUAGCAUGCAAGAACUAUAAUUUGGUUCUCUGAAGUAUGAACUUGAUAACUAUGUACAUUUCUGAAUUGAACUAUGUUCUAGGUUUUUCUUUGGCUUUGACAAAAUCAAAUUAAUACCACCGAGCCUCACAGCACAGCAAUACAAGUGCCGGAGCACAAGUCAAGGUGGAGCACAAUUGGAGGUUUGGGGCUGACAAAAAGGAAAGAAUGGCACUAGCUGCAACUGCGACGGUGACAGAACUGUGAAAAGAAUGAAACCUACUUGGUUGUGGCGAGCAGCUGCGCGUUGUCGAAGGAUUCGGCAUGUGACUUGCCGAGUCGCCUGAGCUCUGCGUUGAUGCACUUGGAGGUGAAGAGGGCUGGCGUCCUGGAGGCCGAGAGGAGGUCUCGGAGAGUCUCGUCGGCCGGGAGGAGGCGCUGGGUGAGGAGGUGGUGGACGAAGGUACCGUCAAUGAGGACCUUGUACGGCUCGCGGAAGCCGAAGCAGGUGGUGUAGAACUUGACCGCUUUGCGGUUCUUUGAGCGCUUCUUCACCCGCAUCCUGAUUACUGGGUGGGCGGCCGCAGCGGCGUGCGGCGACGGGAGGGCGGAGUCACGGAGGAGACGGCGGCGGCGUUAAGAACCGGCGAGUGGAGGCGGUGGUGAACGGGCAGGAAAGUAAAGCCGUGCUAGGGCUUUUGGUUCAUCACGCGGCUCCUCUGCUUGCUGGGCUGAACUGGGCCCCAUGGAAUCAGCGAUGACAAAGCCCACUUUAUGUCGCUGACCAACAAUCACAAUUUCUCUGAUAGGCCAAAAGGUUUGGUGGGCUUUUGAGACUAAGGCCCUGUUUAGAUUAGAGAUGAAAAUUUUUUGAGUGUCACAUCGCAUAUAUCGGAAGAAUGUCAGAAGAGGUUUUUAGAAAGUAACAAAAAAACAAAUUACAUAGCUCAUCUGGAAACUGCAAGAAAAAUCUAUUAAGCAUAAUUAAUCUGUUAUUAGCACAUGUGGAUUACUGUAGUACUUAAGGCUAAUCAUAGACUAACUAUGCUUAAAAGAUUCAUCUCGCCAUUCUCAACCAAACUGUGUAAUUAGUUUAUUUUUUAUCUAUAUUUAAUGUUCCAUGUAUGUGUCCAAAAAUUCGAUGGGAUGGAUGAAAAAAUUUUGAGUGGGGAACUAAACAGAGCUGCUCUAUAACGUUUUGCUGCAGAGCCGUUUUUUUAUGAAAAUCAGAGGAGCUAGAGCAGUUCAGGAGUCAUAAAUUCAAAGGAGCCCUUCAAGACACCUCGGCCUUGUUUAAUUCACUCCGAAAUCCAAAAAGUUUUCAAGAUUCCCUGUCACAUCGAAUCUUGCGGUACAUGCAUGAAGCAUUAAAUAUAGAUGAAAAUAAAAAUUAGUCACACAGUUUGACUGUAAAUCGCGAGACGAAUCUUUUGACCUUAGUUAGUCUAUAAUUAGACAAUAUUUACCACAAACAAACGAAAGUGCUACAGUUCCGAAAACUUUUCAGUUUUCGAACUAAACAAGGCCCUCCUCAAAGUCAGAGUCCGUUAGUUUGUCGGAUAACAGUAUUUUUUUUCCACAAUAAAUUAUAGUAUAACUUUUCAGACCGUCAGUUUGGCACGAAUUACAAAGUUGGCACUAGCAGCAGAAUGUUCGAGAUUCUACCGGAGCUCUUAGACCUUGUUUAGUUCCCAAAAAAUAUUGCAAAAUUUUUCAGAUUUCUCGUCACAUCGAAUCUUUAGACGUAUACAUGGAGUAUUAAAUAUAGACGAAAAUAAAAACUAAUUGCACAGUUUGAUCGGAAUUGACGAGACAAAUUUUUUAAGCCUAGUUAGUCCAUGAUUAGACAAUAUUUAUCAAAUACAAACGAAAAUGCUACAGUACCCAUUUUGCAAAAUUUUUUGCAACUAAACAAGUCCUUAACCUUUUCACAACAAGAAUUCUGAAAUCAAUAUUUUUUAUAGGCACAUGAAUGACGCGCCCAAACAAAAUAUUCGCCGCAGGUCGGUGACAUGAUCUUUCAGGCCGAGUAGGUGAACACCCACCCGUUUCCGUGGUGACGUCGUACGGAGUACUCAUUCCUGGUUGCACAGCCAGCAACAGACGGAACACCCUUCUCUUACUGACGAGUGGCGCCAGGAGAUCUCGGGCCCAAAGUGUCAGAGACUAUCACCUAACCGAGCCGCAACCGGAGUCGGUUCCGAGGCCCUGCGUGAUUAGCUUAACCACAGCUCCGGUUUAAACCGAAACCCACACUGCUAAUCGGCCAUCAGUUUACACAAAACGCAGGAUCGGCAUCGCCUCCCGGGCUGGGGGGCUUAACUCGAGUCGCUAAUCCUUUUCCUCGUAUCGCCCCGUCUCCAACCUCGCUCGCCGCCAUGGAAGGUUCGAAGGGGAGCGGAGGUGGCGGGGAUGGGGCCGGGCCCGAAAAGCCCAGCGCCGAGUCGAACCCUAGCCUGAAUCCGCCCCCACCUACCGCGGCGGCGACCGAAGCCACGGAUGACGGUGGCGCCGCGGCCGCGGCUGCGGCCGAGGCGGCCAGGCGGCCCUUCACGGCCCUCAGCCAGGAGGAGGCUGACCUCGCCCUCGCCCGCGUCCUGCAGGAGCAGGUAAGCGAUGAUAAGAUCUCGCGGCCUCGGGGCCCGCUCCUAGGGUUCCUUGCCCCCGGGCGAUUAACCCGUGCUUCGGAUCGGUGCAGGAGCGGGCGUACAUGUUGCUCCGGAUGAACGGGGGCGGUGGCGAGGGCAGCGACUACGGGAGCUCUGAUGCAGGGAGCUACGAGUACGACGAAGAGGGAGAGGAGGAUUACGAAGAAGAACUGGAGCACCACCUCCGUGUCCACCACCACGGGCACCCCUCGGGCGAUGGUGAGGGAGAGGGAGAGGGCGAGGCCGAGGGCGCCGAGGGGAGCGACUACGACGAAGAGUUCGAGGAGGACGAAGAAGGGGAGCCGGAAGUAGAUCCCGCAGAGUUUGAGGACGAUGAGGCUUAUGCGCGUGCGCUGCAGGAUGCUGAGGAGCGUGAGGUCGCCGCGCGGCUUAUGGCUCUCGCUGGUCUCAGCGAUUGUGAGCACAAAUGAUUCAUUGCCCCCCAACCCCAGCUCAGUUCACAAUUUAGUUGGUCGCUGGUUUGUAAUUUUGGCUUUCCCUUGCAGGGCGGACAGUGGAUGUGGAGCAUGAGGAGGACCAUGUGAAUGAUCCACAGGUUGUGAUUCAUCUCAUCUAGUUGCUGAAUUUUAUCUUUCUUGCUAGGAAAGGUCACUUGAGUUUGCAAUUAAUGGUUUCACAACAAACAAAAUGCCAUAGUCUGACCUUUGAUAAUUUCUGCGCCUGCAAACUAAUGGAGUUGUUCUUUGAUCAAUGCAACAUGCAUGAUGUUUCAUAACAGUCAUCAUGAUUUGUGCCAUAGCUUAUUGAUUCAGCUAAAAUAAUUUUGACUUGUUGGUUAUUGAUACCAUAGUACUUUCCUUUGAUAGAUUGUUGAUGUUAUGUCCUACCUGGAACACAGGAACACAUCUACUAUUUUUCUUUCUAAUAAAUUGAUGCAUUUUGAUUGUACAGAUUCUAGGGGUCUACCUUGACUUUUUUAGUGAAGGGAAUAUCAGCUGCUCAUUUAUAUGUUAGUUAAAUUGUAUUUCUCACUUAUUAAAAUGAAAUGAUGUUGCAGUGUGAGUUGCAGCUUAAAUGUUGAUUGUAAAUAAAACCACACUAGACUAAUGCCUCUUUGGAAGUGGUCUUGGAGACAUCUUGGCCAUUUAAAGAGCUGUCUAUAUGUGCAUGAAUUUUCUUCAUGAUGUUUUUGUUCUAUAAAAAAUUAGUAUGGAUUCAAUGCUAUUAAGUUAGAUUGCAUUUAUUUUUUCUUGUUUGGCUUCAACUGUCAAUGAUAUUUUUUCUAGUUUAGGAUCUAAAUAAGGAGUCAUAUCUACUUUUGCUGUUAUAGUUAUGAUUGGGUUUUCCUUUAGUAAGCUUGAAUUGUCUGCCCUUCUAGCAAUAAAAUCCAAAAGCAACAUAUGUCAUAUUUUUAUGAUUACUAGUCAGGUACUACUAUUGUCCUCAGUUUUGUAGGGAUGGUUCAUGGUUGGCAUAUUUCCCAGUUAUUCCUACUGUUAUUACAUAGGGGAAAUUUAUGUCAUUGUUCACAUAUUGGUCUUAUUUUCUCUUGUACUUGUUUUUAAUCAGUCAACUAUAAUGAAUGAUAAACAACUUACAUUUCUGUAUGCUUUUAUGAAAAUCCAGGAGGCAUGGCAAGAGGUUGAUCCAGACGAGUACUCUUAUGAGGCAAGUUACAUUGCUUGUUCUCUUAUCCUUAGUUCUCCAAGCUCCUCAUUUGAAGCUUCAUACAUCAAUAUGUGAUGUUAUGGUUCUCAUGUUGAUGUCAGGAGCUAGUCGCAUUGGGUGAAGUAGUUGGCACAGAAAACAGAGGUCUCUCUGCUGAUACACUUGCUUCUUUACCUUCAGUAACAUACAAGAUGCAAGAUGUUCAGGAUGGCAACACAGAGCAGUAUGUGCAAAUAAUUGAAGUUUUAUAGUUUUGUAAUGAUCUUUAUGAAGUCUUGAUGUAUCAUUAUUGUUGAUAGAUGUGUGAUUUGCCGCGUGGAAUUGGAGGAGGGUGAAUCUUUGAUUGCACUUCCCUGCAAGCACUUAUACCAUCCUGAAUGCAUAAACCAGUGGCUGCAAAUAAAUAAGGUAUGAUGGACCUUCAUAAGCUCCACAUAAUUGAAUGGCUAGAAAGUUCAUUUCAUUAACUCGUUGGUCCUUAAAUACUAUUGUGAUUCUAUGAAUUAUCUCAGACUGUCACACAAACAUAUACCUGGAGGAAUGUAUAGUAUACUAUGUUUGGUAAUAACUUCUAGUCAAAAUAAAAAGCUUAAGAAUUUUCUGUUGGCCGGUUUGUCAACUGUUGUUCUUAUUCUAGUUGUGCAGCUGUGUUUAGUUCAUCAUUUUUUCUUAAAAAAAAAAUGAUUGCAUAUGAAACAUAGAAUGUCAAUGGUAUUGAGGGUUGCAGUAAUAGGGCAGCAAUCUAUACAUUUGAAUAAGAAUAUUCUGUUAUUUGCUUGACAUAGUCCCUAGAUUUGUAAUCAUGGUCAAGAUGUCUGGUGCCGUUACAUUGUAUUAGACUGAAGUUGUGAGCCUUCUAGUCGUAAUGGAGCCUACAAUGUUCUGUCAUGGUCUAGUGAGGUUUUGGUUAACUGACGUUCCGUCAUGUUUCCAUGCGGAUUCAUGUAAUUUUGUUGUUGUGGUAAUGAAAUUUGGUUACACCAUGUGGUGGGGGAAAAAGAAGAUUUGAAAGCUUAGCAAUCAACAAAUCUUGGAAGCUGGUAUCUAAACCUGAUAAUGGUUUUGGCACAACCGGUUUUUUGUAGAUUGGUUUUUUUGUUGGGCCUAUUUGGUUUGGGUGCCACUGUGGCACUGCCACAUGACCUGAGCAGGCUUAUGGGUUGGUUGGGUCUGGGUUAGGAGUCACUGUGGAUUGGUUUGGAUCAGCUUCAGUCUAAGCAGUGCAGUCUCCUAGCAGUCUGAAACUGUGAAUCGAACCCAUCCAUACCCUUGGUCUUUGAUAUGCGCGUUCGGGUGCGGCGGAUAAGGCGCCGGCCGCCGGCGGGGCGAUAGGGACCCGGGCAUGUUGUGCUGGAGAUGAUCGGCGGCGUGAGGGAGCGGGCAGAGCAGAGGGCAGCGGCGGCAGCAACGUGGGCGUGUGCGGUGGCUGCGGCUAGCUUGGGGCAGGCGGGGCCUGGCGUGCUGGUGUGGUGGGCGAUGCCCUUCCAGCCGGCGUACGUACCGGCAGCUAGUAUCUGUCCAUGGCCUGGCUGAUGAAGAACAUGGACUUGCAAGGGUCCGCGGCGGACACGGUCAGGAGAGCUGACCGGCCGUUGUAGUUGCAUGAGGAGGCAUCUGGUGGCGGACGUGUUCUGCUGCCUGCUGCAUCUUGACGUCAAAGAGUACUGCGCUUCUUCCUGCUGCCGACGUCGUCGCUGAGUCACCAAUCGCACAUGCUGGCGCCCGCCUCGGCUGGGGCUGCAUCGCUGUAGUAGUUCGCAGUAGCUAGCUUGUUACUCAACUUCGUCGUAGGACAGGAAGCGGAAGCGGCAGCAACAUGCAGACAACUAGCAAGCGCCACAGAAGAGCCUAUCCAGGAACCUGACAUCACCGCACAUGGACACACGGUGGUGACGACCAUUGAAACAUUCGUUCACAGUUUGUUCACGGUUCUACUAUGGUCUGGAACCAUAGUUUAAAUAAAUAGUUUGGACUGUACAUACGGUCUGGUUGAGUUAGUUUUGGAGAAAAGAAGAAUGCUGUGGGGCGGAACGGGCUGACGUCUAAUUUAGAAAUGAUUGGUCUGGGUGGCCUGGUUUCCAGAUCAUUACCAGGUUUACUGGUAUGCUCACCAAUGGACACUUGGGGAUAUAUUAUCUAGGUUUUACAUGAUGUUUAGAGACAAGAUACCUCUAUACUUUGCCUGUGACUGGUUUCUCUUUAUUUAAUCAGUAUUGAGUUGUGAUACUCUUAAGUUGAUCAAGAAAACUUAGUGCCUUCAAAAGGUUAUAAUGUUUUAUGUAUCUAUGGAGGCUGGCAAAACCGCUGUAAUUGCUGCACAGCUGUAGUCAGGUCAAGUUUGAUGGUCUGCUUGACUCCUGUUAUCAUCUUACUUUCUGGCACAAUGACUAGCUAUAGGCUAGCUGUAUUCACUAUUCAUAUUGUCAGUCCGUCUCAGCAUUCCUACUAUGGCAGAUUAUGCUAUGUGGAUCCUUCCUUAUCUUGCAAAGUAAUAGGUUGUAGCUGUAUACAUAUUCUUCUAUAUAUUUCAGCGAUCCUGCAGGCAUCAUGCCAGGUCGAUCCCUACUUUGAAAAGUAAAUUCUAUUAUGGCCACCACCUGGCUUGAGUUAAUUUCAACAUGUUUUCCAAUCAACAUGAUGUGGAUACUUGUAAACAACAGUUUUCGUUGCUCCAAAAUGUGACAAAACACUCCCUGAUUCUUGCAGGUAUGCCCUAUGUGCAGUGCAGAAGUAUCAACCUCGGGCAACAAGGAGCCAUGACUGCUCUCAGAUGGCCAUCUUGGGCACUUGAUGGGAAUAACUAGCGGCACACUGCAGCAUCUGUAUUGUCGAAACAAAAGCAGAACGUUUUACAUACAUGCAAGGAGAUCAGGAAAUAAUCCUCUUGUCAGUC